UACGUAGGGUGCGAGCGUUGUCCGGAAUUACUGGGCGUAAAGAGCUCGUAGGCGGUUUGUCGCGUCGUCCGUGAAAACUUGGGGCUUAACCCUGAGCUUGCGGUCGAUACGGGCAUGACUGGAGUUCGGUAGGGGAGACUGGAAUUCCUGGUGUAGCGGUGAAAUGCGCAGAUAUCAGGAGGAACACCGGUGGCGAAGGCGGGUCUCUGGGCCGAUACUGACGCUGAGGAGCGAAAGCGUGGGGAGCGAACAGG
rnacentral:rRNA from 1 species